CCCCACGUUUUUCUCACAAUAAUGCAGGAAUUAUUUUUCACUUUUUAGUUUGAUAUGUUUUAAAAGCGUGUUUUUUAGUUUUCUUAAACUAUAUUUAUUUUUAAUUUAUUAGUUUGAUGUGAGAUACCCCAAAUUUGUUAAAAUAUGAACUAUGACAUGUAGUAGAUAUGGGUUAAGUAAAUCGAUAAUUAGACAGCAUUUAAUAUCUACUCGUAACCUUUCAUUGAAUAAUUGUUAUAUUAUUUGCGACCAAGUUCUAUUGAAGACUUUACAAAUUAUUACUUCUUAAUCGAAUCAUUUCUUCUAAAGCUUCAAUGUUACAUGGGGUUUUACCUGUCAAAUUUGAACACAGCAAACAGUCGAGAGCCCAGAUAAAUUACUGCAUGAACUACUGUACAUCCAGAGAACGUAUAUUUAUAA